rnacentral:lncRNA from 1 species
AAAUUGAGAUAAAUUUAUCAGUGGGGUUUAGGUGCGAUCUUCAUUGGAAUAGCCAUAUUUUUGUACUGUUAAUUAAUUAAGAAUAUAUCUUGGUUAGCCAAAAAGAAUGUUGUGAGUUCUGGUUCUAAUGCCACGAACAAUUGGGUAAAAACAAAUGGUGUCUUCGCAAUUGGUUGGAAUAGAUGUUACUGACAACAGAGAGAUGUCUUCCUCCGUGCCAUUGGUCAAGGACAAAACUUAACCGAAUGUCGAUGAUAACAGCCUCUUAAGAAGGACGAACCAAAUAGCUAGAUGCGUCAAAUACUACGUAAUGGAGAUGAUGAUGACGACACUUGUACAAAGAUGUGCGCCCUUUCCAGCAGUUGAUGAACUUUAUACUUUGAUGGUGACGGAAAUAAAACAUGAACUAUGUAUAUCGAACUAUUUAACUGGUGAUUCAAAUGAACUAUGUGUAAAUAUAUCCAGCUAUUGGACUUGGUGAAUGUAAUGAACUUAUUAUAAACUUUAGAUGUGUGGUGAUGGUUACCGGAAACUUUGCAAUGAACUAUCACAAUAACCUACAGGAAGAAAAACUACCGUAUUUUAUUGAACUUUCGUUUUAUUUAGGAGGAAAGGAAAAUGUAACACAAUUGUGUUUCAUAUCAUUAAUUAUCAAGGAGUAUUAAUUAGGAAUUUAUUAAAAAGGAAUUAAAUAAUUCAAUAACAAUCAUGUACACUUUGGACACUUUUAAAUAACGAUCUGUUCAAAUAUUAUAGACAUACCAUGUAUACCCUGCAGCCAAUAAAUGACCAUGUCUACUGUGAAAUAACAUGUAUCCUUCAGGGUUUGACAAUUAACCAUAGACUAGAAUUAUUUAACAUCCAGACGAAUACGUAACCGGCCAUUAGCUAUGGGCCAAUGUUUAUGGACAACUGGACUAUAUAAGAUCCAGCUUUGGACUUGAAGGAGGACAGAUUGGUACAAGAGAUUGGUACCGGAGAUUCCGCCAAGGUCUCCCCCACCUCGUGGGUAGGCUGGAACUCAUGCGCUUAAUAUCCGAAAUACUCUAACAGGAACGAACAGUUAUAACACUAUACGAUCACGUGCCCGUGUGAGAUAUUGAACAUUCGAACAAUUCAACUUUAAAGACAGUUUGUGAACAUUCGAACAUUUGAACUUUAGAAUCUUUCUUGACUUUGUAAUUACGUAAUAAAAUAUAUUUAUCCUAUUAAUGACUUCGUCACA